ensembl:lncRNA
UUUUGUCCACCAGACGGCAGGGGUUGACUGACUGUGAUUAUUGGCGUUCGGGAAUGUUUUUAAUUUAUAACUUUAUUAUAUGAAUAAAAUCAAUACUUUAAAAACAACGGCGUUGCUGUUGUAUUUUCGUCUUUAAUGUGUAGUUAUAUGUUUUUAGAGCUUAACCGAAGUUCUCCUCGUAUGUAAUCUGGCCACAAAAAAUAUACUGCCCGCAGUUCUCGUUUUGUCCAUCAGAGGGCAGGCGUUGACUGACUGUGAAACAAAGCGUGUGUGGGAAUGUCUUUUAAGUUGUAACAUUAUUCCAUUAACGAAGUCAAAAUCUUAACUUGCUGUUUGGUUCAUUUAAUUGCAUAAAUAGUAUUUCAUGGAACACCAAUCUCGAAACGUAUGCUAUGACAACGACCUACCUAUGGGGACGAUAUAUCCGGGGAACCGGUAGUGCCGGAUAUCCGGGGCUAGAAUUCCUCAUCCGUCGGCGUGUCAUUGUUUACAGUCCGACGAGAACUUUAAACAAAUCCAAUAGUAUCCAGCUGCAGCCCCGGAGAACACCCUGGCAUGACAGAACACCACCCAGGCGGGACAGAAUCUGAAGACUGGUGGAAGUAGUCCAGCCGCCAUUUGUUUGGCCUCCUCCAUGAAGUGUGGGAACCUUCUGCAGUGCCUGUAUAAAUAAAGAGAAAUGAUUAUGUAAAGCCGUUCCGCCGAAUUCAACAACCGUAGAAACAGAGGAAAGGACACAACAUUAUCGAGACCAAUCUCAUGGGCCCUGAUGAACCGGUGAAACGGAUAAGUCUGAUGAAUUUAACCACGGGUCGAACCAAUGAUGGGGCAAGAGUGGUGUUUUUUGUUUUUUUAAACAUAAG